UACGUAGGGCGCAAGCGUUAUCCGGAAUUAUUGGGCGUAAAGAGCUCGUAGGCGGUGUGUCACGUCGGCCGUGAAAACCUGCAGCUUAACUGUGGGCGUGCGGUCGAUACGGGCAUCACUGGAGUUCGGCAGGGGAGACUGGAAUUCCUGGUGUAGCGGUGAAAUGCGCAGAUAUCAGGAGGAACACCGGUGGCGAAGGCGGGUCUCUGGGCCGAUACUGACGCUGAGGAGCGAAAGCGUGGGGAGCAAACAGG
rnacentral:rRNA from 1 species